rnacentral:rRNA from 1 species
GAUCAUGGCUCAGGAUGAACGCUGGCGGCGUGCUUAACACAUAGCAAGUCGAACGGAGUUUUAACGGAAGUUUCGGAUGGAAGUUAAGAACUUAGUGGCGGACGGGUGAGUAACGCGUGGGUAACCCUGCCUCAGUACAGGGGGAUAACAGUUAGAAAUGACUGCUAACACCGCAUAAGUAUAGUGAAACCGCAUGAUUUUGCUAUCAAAUAUUUAUAGGUAUGAGAUGGGCCCGCGUCUGAUUAGCUAGUUGGUGGGGUAAAGCCUACCAAGGCGACGAUCAGUAGCCGGCUUGAGAGAGUGACCGGCCACAUUGGGACUGAGACACGGCCCAAACUCCUACGGGAGGCAGCAGUGGGGAAUAUUGGACAAUGGGGGAAACCCUGAUCCAGCGAACCGCCGCGUGAGUGAAGAAGUAUUUCGGUAUGUAAAGCUCUAUCAGCAGGGAAGAUAAUGACAGUACCUGACUAAGAAGCCCCGGCUAACUACGUGCCAGCCGCAGC